AUCGUUACCAGGCAGGGAACAUACUAUGAUCACGAAGUUGGUUUUCCCAGGGUGCAGUUUAUCCACUGCUCUCUGGAUGUGCUGACCCCUGCAAGCUCCCCAAAUGUGGGAAACUCCACUACAUCAUUUCUGACAGUGAAGAACUGUGUUUGCACUCUCCCUG